rnacentral:ribozyme from 1 species
AAAAAAAAAAAUAUCCGCUCUGGACAAAAUUGAUCCAAUUCAAAGACGCCUUCAGAACGUUUGAAUCCAAUAAGAUGGGUGUGAAAACAAUACAACAAGAGAGACAUAACAGUUCUCAC